rnacentral:lncRNA from 1 species
CCCCCUCCCCCACACUCUGGGUUUUUCUCUGUCUCUAUGCUUUCCAGCGCCUAUGAAGUGAGCAACCUUGCCUUGCCCACUACUUCUACCAUGAUGUUUCUAUCUCAUUUAAGGCUUAAAAACAGUGUAGCCACCUGACCAAGGAUGAAAACCUCUGAAACUGUGAAAUACAUCUUCUCUCUUUAAGUUGUAUUUCUCAAGAUUUGAUCACAGCAGCAAAGAGCUGAUCAACACAUUUUAUGAAUGAUGCUCUAAACAAAAAGACUCCAGACUUUUUAAAACAUGAAAGUAUUGUCAGGGGAAAAAAGAAAUUGAAAGCUACUGGCUUAGAUUUAUCAAGUUG